rnacentral:rRNA from 1 species
GUCGAACGCGUUGGCCCAAUUGAUUGAUGGUGCUUGCACCUGAUUGAUUUUGGUCGCCAACGAGUGGCGGACGGGUGAGUAACACGUAGGUAACCUGCCCAGAAGCGGGGGACAACAUUUGGAAACAGAUGCUAAUACCGCAUAACAGCGUUGUUCGCAUGAACAACGCUUAAAAGAUGGCUUCUCGCUAUCACUUCUGGAUGGACCUGCGGUGCAUUAGCUUGUUGGUGGGGUAACGGCCUACCAAGGCGAUGAUGCAUAGCCGAGUUGAGAGACUGAUCGGCCACAAUGGGACUGAGACACGGCCCAUACUCCUACGGGAGGCAGCAGUAGGGAAUCUUCCACAAUGGGCGCAAGCCUGAUGGAGCAACACCGCGUGAGUGAAGAAGGGUUUCGGCUCGUAAAGCUCUGUUGUUAAAGAAGAACACGUAUGAGAGUAACUGUUCAUACGUUGACGGUAUUUAACCAGAAAGUCACGGCUAACUACGUGCCAGCAGCCGCGGUAAUACGUAGGUGGCAAGCGUUAUCCGGAUUUAUUGGGCGUAAAGAGAGUGCAGGCGGUUUUCUAAGUCUGAUGUGAAAGCCUUCGGCUUAACCGGAGAAGUGCAUCGGAAACUGGAUAACUUGAGUGCAGAAGAGGGUAGUGGAACUCCAUGUGUAGCGGUGGAAUGCGUAGAUAUAUGGAAGAACACCAGUGGCGAAGGCGGCUACCUGGUCUGCAACUGACGCUGAGACUCGAAAGCAUGGGUAGCGAACAGGAUUAGAUACCCUGGUAGUCCAUGCCGUAAACGAUGAGUGCUAGGUGUUGGAGGGUUUCCGCCCUUCAGUGCCGGAGCUAACGCAUUAAGCACUCCGCCUGGGGAGUACGACCGCAAGGUUGAAACUCAAAGGAAUUGACGGGGGCCCGCACAAGCGGUGGAGCAUGUGGUUUAAUUCGAAGCUACGCGAAGAACCUUACCAGGUCUUGACAUCUUGCGCCAACCCUAGAGAUAGGGCGUUUCCUUCGGGAACGCAAUGACAGGUGGUGCAUGGUCGUCGUCAGCUCGUGUCGUGAGAUGUUGGGUUAAGUCCCGCAACGAGCGCAACCCUUGUUACUAGUUGCCAGCAUUAAGUUGGGCACUCUAGUGAGACUGCCGGUGACAAACCGGAGGAAGGUGGGGACGACGUCAGAUCAUCAUGCCCCUUAUGACCUGGGCUACACACGUGCUACAAUGGACGGUACAACGAGUCGCGAACUCGCGAGGGCAAGCAAAUCUCUUAAAACCGUUCUCAGUUCGGACUGCAGGCUGCAACUCGCCUGCACGAAGUCGGAAUCGCUAGUAAUCGCGGAUCAGCAUGCCGCGGUGAAUACGUUCCCGGGCCUUGUACACACCGCCCGUCACACCAUGAGAGUUUGUAACACCCAAAGUCGGUGGGGUAACCUUUUAGGAGCCAGCCG